CCUACGGGAGGCUGCAGUGGGGAAUAUUGCACAAUGGGGGAAACCCUGAUGCAGCGACGCCGCGUGAGUGAAGAAGUAUCUCGGUACGUAAAGCUCUAUCAGCAGGGAAGAAAAUGACGGUACCUGACUAAGAAGCCCCGGCUAACUACGUGCCAGCAGCCGCGGUAAUACGUAGGGGGCAAGCGUUAUCCGGAGUUACUGGUUGUAAGGGGAGCGUAGACGGCAGAACAAGUCUGGAGUGAAAUCCCGGGGCUUAACCGCGGAACUGCCUUUGAAACUGUGCGGCUGGAGUGCAGGAGGGGUAAGCGGAAUGCGUAGUGUAGCGGUGAAAUGCGUAGAUAUUAGGAGGAACACCGGUUGCGAAGGCGGCUUACUGGACUGUAACUGACGUUGAGGCUCGAAAGCGUGGGGAGCAAACAGGAUUAGAUACCCUAGUAGUC
rnacentral:rRNA from 1 species